rnacentral:rRNA from 1 species
CAUUUUUAUCCCGGGGAAGAAAUCUGCAUUCAUAGCGGAGGAAAGAAACUAACAAGGAUUCCCCUAGUAACUGCGAGUGAAGCGGGAAAAGCUCAAAUUUAAAAUCUGGUGGUCUUUGGCCAUCCGAGUUGUAAUUUAGAGAAGCGUCUUCCGCGCUGGACCGUGCACAAGUCUCCUGGAAUGGAGCGUCAUAGAGGGUGAGAAUCCCGUCUUUGGCACGGACANGCCAGGGCUUCUGUGAUGCGCUCUCGAAGAGUCGAGUUGUUUGGGAAUGCAGCUCAAAAUGGGUGGUGAACUCCAUCUAAAGCUAAAUAUUGGCGAGAGACCGAUAGCGAACAAGUACCGUGAGGGAAAGAUGAAAAGCACUUUGGAAAGAGAGUGAAACAGUACGUGAAAUUGUUGAAAGGGAAACGCUUGAAGUCAGUCGCGUCGACCGAGACUCAGCCUNGCCUUGGCUUGNUGUAAUUCUCGGCUGACGGGUCAGCAUCAAUUUUGCCUCUUGGAUAAUGGCGAGGGAAAUGUGACACCUUUACGGUGUGUUAUAGUCUCUCGUCGCAUGCAAGGGUUGGGAUUGAGGAACUCAGCACGCGCCUUCGGGUGUCGGGGUUAUGCCCACGAUACGUGCUUAGGAUGUUGGCGUAAUGGCUUUAAACGACCCGUCUUGAAACACGGACCAAGGAGUCUAACAUGCCUGCGAGUGUUCGGGUGGAAAACCCGUGCGCGCAAUGAAAGUGAAAGUUGGGACCUCUGUCGUGGAGGGCACCGACGCCCGGACCAGACCUUCUGUGACGGCUCUGCGGUAAAGCAUGUAUGUUAGGACCCGAAAGAUGGUGAACUAUGCCUGAAUAGGGUGAAGCCAGAGGAAACUCUGGUGGAGGCUCGUAGCGAUUCUGACGUGCAAAUCGAUCGUCAAAUUUGGGUAUAGGGGCGAAAGACUAAUCG